rnacentral:rRNA from 2 species
GCAGGAAGACGGCCCUCUGGGUUGUAAACUGCUUUUAUCCGGGAAUAAACCCCCUUACGUGUAAGGGGCUGAAUGUACCGGAAGAAUAAGGAUCGGCUAACUCCGUGCCAGCAGCCGCGGUAAUACGGAGGAUCCAAGCGUUAUCCGGAUUUAUUGGGUUUAAAGGGUGCGUAGGCGGCCUGUUAAGUCAGGGGUGAAAGACGGUGGCUCAACCAUCGCAGUGCCUUUGAUACUGACGGGCUUGAAUACACUUGAAGUAGGCGGAAUGUGACAAGUAGCGGUGAAAUGCAUAGAUAUGUCACAGAACACCGAUUGCGAAGGCAGCUUACUAAGGUGCAAUUGACGCUGAGGCACGAAAGCGUGGGGAUCAAACAGGAUUAGAUACCCUGGUAGUCCACGCCCUAAACGAUGAAUACUCGAUGUUAGCGAUAUACAGUUAGCGUCUAAGCGAAAGCGUUAAGUAUUCCACCUGGGGAGUACGCCCGCAAGGGUGAAACUCAAAGGAAUUGACGGGGGCCCGCACAAGCGGAGGAGCAUGUGGUUUAAUUCGAUGAUACGCGAGGAACCUUACCCGGGCUUGAAAGUUACUGAAGUAUCCCAGAGAUGGAUG